rnacentral:rRNA from 1 species
AACGAACGCUGGCGGCAUGCCUAACACAUGCAAGUCGAACGAACCCUUCGGGGUUAGUGGCGCACGGGUGCGUAACGCGUGGGAAUCUGCCCUUUGCUUCGGAAUAACUCAGGGAAACUUGUGCUAAUACCGGAUGAUGUCUUCGGACCAAAGAUUUAUCGGCAAGGGAUGAGCCCGCGUAGGAUUAGGUAGUUGGUGGGGUAAAGGCCUACCAAGCCGACGAUUCUUAGCUGGUCUGAGAGGAUGAUCAGCCACACUGGGACUGAGACACGGCCCAGACUCCUACGGGAGGCAGCAGUGGGGAAUAUUGGACAAUGGGCGCAAGCCUGAUCCAGCAAUGCCGCGUGAGUGAUGAAGGCCCUCGGGUCGUAAAGCUCUUUUACCAGGGAUGAUAAUGACAGUACCUGGAGAAUAAGCUCCGGCUAACUCCGUG